rnacentral:rRNA from 1 species
GAUGAACGCUGGCUACAGGCUUAACACAUGCAAGUCGAGGGGCAGCAUGGGGUUUGCUUGCAAACCCCGAUGGCGACCGGCGCACGGGUGAGUAACGCGUAUCCAACCUUCCCGCGACUCGGGUAUAACCUGCCGAAAGGCAGACUAAUCCCCGAUGUCCUCCACUUUGGGCAUCUUUGGUGGAGCAAAGGCUUCGGCCGGUUGCGGACGGGGAUGCGUCCGAUUAGCUUGUUGGCGGGGCAAUGGCCCACCAAGGCUUCGAUCGGUAGGGGUUCUGAGAGGAAGGCCCCCCACAUUGGAACUGAGACACGGUCCAAACUCCUACGGGAGGCAGCAGUGAGGAAUAUUGGUCAAUGGGCGGAAGCCUGAACCAGCCAAGUAGCGUGCAGGACGACGGCCCUAUGGGUUGUAAACUGCUUUUAUGCGGGGAUAACCGGGGCCACGCGUGGCCCCCUGCAGGUACCGCAUGAAUAAGGACCGGCUAAUUCCGUGCCAGCAGCCGCGGUAAUACGGAAGGUCCGGGCGUUAUCCGGAUUCAUUGGGUUUAAAGGGAGCGUAGGCCGUGGAUUAAGCGUGUUGUGAAAUGUAGGCGCUCAACGUCUGACUUGCAGCGCGAACUGGUCCACUUGAGUGUGCGCGACGCAGGCGGAAUUCGUGGUGUAGCGGUGAAAUGCUUAGAUAUCACGAGGAACCCCGAUUGCGAAGGCAGCUUGCGGGAGCACCACUGACGCUGAGGCUCGAAGGUGCGGGUAUCGAACAGG